AACGCUGGCGGCGUGCUUAACACAUGCAAGUCGAACGAAGCAUUUAAGACAGAUUACUUCGGUUUGAAGUCUUUUAUGACUGAGUGGCGGACGGGUGAGUAACGCGUGGGUAACCUGCCUCAUACAGGGGGAUAGCAGCUGGAAACGACUGCUAAUACCGCAUAAGCCCACGGUACCGCAUGGUACUGAGGGAAAAGGAUUUAUUCGCUUUAGGAUGGACUCGCGUCCAAUUAGCUAGUAGGUGGGGUAAAAGGCUCACCUAGGCGACGAUCCCUAGCUGGUCUGAGAGGAUGACCAGCCACACUGGAACUGAGACACGGUCCAGACUCCUACGGGAGGCAGCAGUGGGGAAUAUUGCACAAUGGGCGCAAGCCUGAUGCAGCCAUGCCGCGUGUAUGAAGAAGGCCUUCGGGUUGUAAAGUACUUUCAGCGGGGAGGAAGGGAGUAAAGUUAAUACCUUUGCUCAUUGACGUUACCCGCAGAAGAAGCACCGGCUAACUCCGUG
rnacentral:rRNA from 1 species